rnacentral:rRNA from 1 species
UCUCGUACCUUUUGCAUCAUGAUUCAGCAAGUUAACUCAAGCAAAGAGCACUCUAGUUUGCACCCCCGAAACUUGACGAGCUACUCCGAGACAGCCAACUAUGGGCCAACCCGUCUCUGUGGCAAAAGAGUGGGAAGAUCUCCGAGUAGAGGCAAAAAACCUACCGAGCCAAGUUAUAGCUGGUUGCCCAAUAAAUGAAUACAAGUUCAGCCCUGCCUAGCCCGACUCACACCAGUUUUACGAAAAAAGACAAAGAGCUCACUCGCAGGAGUUAAUCAGAGGAGGUACAGCUCCCCUGACACAGGAUACAACCUUUUUAGGAGAUAAAAGAAUAUUGCCAAACAAGGCCUUGGGUCUCAGUGGGCCUGAAAGCAGCCAUCUGAUCUGAAAGCGUUAAAGCUCCGGCCAAAAGAAAGCCUUUUAUUUAAUCUUAAUAUCUGCUCCCCUAAAUCUUAUUGGGCCUCUCCAUGCACCCAUGGAAGAGACUAUGCUGGAACGAGUAACAAGAAGAAUGAACUUCUCCACGCACAAGUGUAUGUCAAAUUGGACCAACCAUCGACAAUCAACGAACCCAACAAAAGAGGGCCCUACACACCCGCCACCUCUGACCAAGAAAACUAUGUUCCCUAGAAUCGUUACCCCGACACAGGAGUGCCAGAACAAGGAAAGACUUAAAGAAAAAAAAGGAACUCGGCAAACCCAGACCUCGCCUGUUUACCAAAAACAUCGCCUCUUGCAUUCCAAAGUAUAAGAGGUCCCACCUGCCCUGUGACUCUAAGUUUAACGGCCGCGGUAUUCUAACCGUGCGAAGGUAGCGCAAUCAAUUGCCUUUUAAAUGAAGGCCUGUAUGAAUGGUAUAACGAGGGUCUAGCUGUCUCUUUUUUCUAGUCAGUUAAACUGAUCUGUCCGUGCAGAAGCGGACAUUAAUAUACAAGACGAGAAGACCCUAUGGAGCUUUAGACACUAGCCAACUGUGAAUAAGCGACUGAACUGAACAAGUCCUAAAUACCCGCAGCCUUAUGGUAAUGUAGUCUUAGGUUGGGGCGACCACGGGAGAAAGUAAAGCUCCCAAGCAGACCGGGAAAACCCUUAAGCCGAGAGUUGCAACUCUAAGCCGCAAAAUUUUUGACUGAAAUGAUCCGGUUGAAAAACCGAUUAACGAACCAAGUUACCCUAGGGAUAACAGCGCAAUCCUCUCCCAGAGUCCCUAUCGACGAGGGGGUUUACGACCUCGAUGUUGGAUCAGGACAUCCUAAUGGUGCAG